CGUGCUCGUGUGCAUCGAACUGUCGAAAKCCGAUCUCAUCAAUCGAAGCCCAUGCACACUCUUUCGUGCUAUGGGUAAUGGUUGCGUUCCUGUGUUGCAUACCCACGAAAGUGGAAAUCAAUUACGUUGCGGGGUUAUAUUCGCCUAUGCCCGUCAAGGGCAUGCGGUGAACAUGGAAGCACCUCUUGUGUUCCGAACAUGUUCGUGCAACUGUUUUGGCACAUUUGUAGGUUGCUCGUGGUCUCGGAUGCGGAAAUUGUUUUGUAGCUGAGGGAUCGGAUCUCUCAAUUGCUCGAAACGUUCAUUAUCUACGAACGACAUGCGGUGCUUGUUUCCAGUCCUCCUCAUGCUACGAUGUUGGUACGUCGGGGAUUGGAGUGAGCUCUGCGUUCGUGAAGGAAUGC
rnacentral:misc_RNA from 1 species